AUAACUUUAAGUUAAAAAAACUAUAAACCUUCAAAGUUUAAAAUGAUCAAAGUCAAGUUAUC
rnacentral:tRNA from 1 species